rnacentral:rRNA from 1 species
UGAGGAAUAUUGGGCAAUGCCCGAAAGGGUGACCCAGCAACGCCGCGUGGAGGAUGAAGGUCGUAAGAUUGUAAACUCCUGUUAGAGGGGAAGAAUAACUAAGUUUGGAGCUUAGUAUGACUGUACCCUCAGAGAAAGCCCCGGCUAACUACGUGCCAGCAGCCGCGGUAAUACGUAGGGGGCAAGCGUUGUCCGGAUUUACUGGGUGUAAAGGGCGCGCAGGCGGAAUGGAAAGUCAGUGGUGAAAUCCUACAGCUUAACUGUAGAACUGCCUUUGAUACUUUCAUUCUUGAGUUCGGGAGAGAGAGACGGAAUUCCAGGUGUAGUGGUGAAAUACGUAGAUAUCUGGAAGAACACCAGUUGCGAAGGCGGUCUCUUGGUCCGAUACUGACGCUGAGGCGCGAAAGCGU